GGUUCAGUAGCUCAGUGGUUAGAGCACCGGCAUAUAAAACCAGGAAGUCCUUUGGUUCAAUCCCAGGGCUAGGUCA